rnacentral:lncRNA from 1 species
AAGAUGGUGGGGUGUAACAGUUGAUGGUGGUUGACGGCGGUUACUGGUGGAAGUUAUAAUGACGGUAAUGUCCUCUGUCUCUUGUUUUCUAUUUUUAUUUUAGUUUUGAAAUACAUGAUUUUGAGGAUAGAUUUAGAUUGUUGUUUCUUCUCUGUUCAACUUCAUUUUUAUUUUAGAAUUUCUCCUUUUCUAAAAAAAUUCUAUUUUUCUUUACUUCUCUUUUUGAAAAAAUAAAAAUAAAAAAACUCCUCCCUUUCUGAAAAAACAAGACUCUAUUUAUAGAGUUUUCUUUAAGUGUUCAGUUGUUUUCUUUGCAUGUGCUCAUGUUUGAGUUUGAGCUUUCUAGUUCCUUGUUUGAUGCUUCUUUUAUUUUGCUCAUCAUCCGCAUUUUUUUCCUGCACAUCUGAUGCAUUCAUAGUUUUAGCUUAUGUUUAUUUUUAUCUGUUCACUUGCUGAGCUUUUUUUAUUUUUUAUUUGCAGCUUUAAUUUGUCUUUUAGUUUUUUUUUAAACUCAAAAGUUUGUCUCCUUACCCUGUAUAAUGUGUAUCAUGGCUAAAGGCAAAGAUAGUUGACUUUCAUUACUUACAUAUCAUCUCUCUGACUUAUAAGACUAUGUUUUUUUAGUUACAAAAUAGGUACAAUGAUAGUGCUUCAAAGCAGUGCAGCAACAGAAAGAUCAAAUAAGGCAGACAUCUAAAGCAAAAGCAAGGUAGUGCAGCAAAAAGAAAACAAACAAGGCAUGUAGCAGCUGGCAAGGCAACAUAAAAUGAUUUUCUUUUAGCUAUAUUUUUUAUUUCUUUUAUAUAUAUAUAUUUUCCUUUUUUGUAUCACAAAAUUUGAUAUAUUAUAAUAAAAAUGGAUAUUAUUACUUUUUGAAUUAUUUCUAA